AAGACUAUAGACCUGCGGAGUACCUGCGGAAGGAUCAUCGAAGGAAAAUGGCUUCUCUUACUUAGGGGAGGUGCAAGGGGAGGAGAAAUUCUCUUGUUGCACUUCUCUAAACAAACAAUCGCAACUAGCACAAAUGGAGCGAGUAGUGGGAUGUAGUGUGGUUUGGUUUGGCUUGGUUUGGUGGGGGCGGUAGCAGCAGCAGUCAAAAGUGUUUGCCUGAUAAUCAGAUAGACUGAAAUG
rnacentral:misc_RNA from 1 species